rnacentral:tRNA from 2 species
GCCCGGGUGGCUUAGCUGGACAUAGCGCCGCACUCAUAGGGUCUUUCGACUCAUGCGGCAGUGCACCCGUCAUGACCCCGGGGCGCUCGUCACGCCCCAGACCUGGGCCAUGCGGAGAUCGAGGGUUCGGAGCCCUCCCCGGGCA